rnacentral:rRNA from 1 species
GAUGAACGCUGGCGGCGUGCUUAACACAUGCAAGUCGAACGGUGAAAGCGGGAGCUUGCUCCUGCUGGAUCAGUGGCGAACGGGUGAGUAACACGUGAGCAAUCUGCUCCGAACUCUGGGAUAAGCGCUGGAAACGGCGGCUAAUACCGGAUACGACGCGCGACGGCAUCGUCUGCGCGUGGAAAGAACUUCGGUUCGGGAUGAGCGCGCGGCCUAUCAGCUGGUUGGUGAGGUAACGGCCCACCAGGGGCACGACGGGUAGCCGGCCUGAGACGGUGCCCGGCGACGCUGGGACGGCGACGAGGCCGAGAUUCCUCCGGGAGGCAGCAGUGGCGAGUAUCGGACAAUGGGCGCAAGCCUGAUGCAUCAACGUCGCGUGAGUGCCGACGGCCUUCGGGUUGUAAACCUCUUUUAGCGGGGAAGAAGCGAGAGGGAUGGUACCUGCAUAAAAAGCACCGGCUAACUACGUGCCAGCAGCCGCCGUAACAC